rnacentral:rRNA from 1 species
UGGGAACGUACCCUUUGGUUCGGAACAACCCAGGAAAACUUGGGCUAAUACCGGAUAAGUCCGUAAGGAGAAAGAUUUAUCGCCAAAGGAUCGGCCCGCGUCUGAUUAGCUAGUUGGUAGGGUAAUGGCCUACCAAGGCUACGAUCAGUAGCUGGUCUGAGAGGAUGAUCAGCCACAUUGGGACUGAGACACGGCCCAAACUCCGUACGGGAGGCAG